CAGCAUAUUCUCCUUCCAAGCCUGCAUACACUUUCUUUUCUUCUUCAACAACCAUGUCCUCUAUACUCUGUUCACAGGGAGUGGUUCUGGCCACUGCCAUGGCUGUCUCCGGCACCGUAAUUCUCCUCGCUCUUCGCCUUCAAAAAUCUCUACCUGCCUCCCUCUUACCUAUUGACCAAAUUCCACAAUCUUCAGACCAAGUUCUGCGCUCCUGUAUCUCAUCAGAGGGGAAGAAAAAGAAGAAGAAAAAGCGGGUGCACUUUGCAGAGGAUGUGGUGGAU
rnacentral:misc_RNA from 1 species